rnacentral:rRNA from 1 species
UUAUAAGAGACAGCAGUAGCCGCGGGAAUACGAAGGGUGCAAGCGUUACUCGGAAUUACUGGGCGUAAAGCGUGCGUAGGUGGUGGUUUAAGUCCGUUGUGAAAGCCCUGGGCUCAACCUGGGAAUUGCAGUGGAUACUGGGUCACUAGAGUGUGGUAGAGGAUAGUGGAAUUUCCGGUGUAGCAGUGAAAUGCGUAGAGAUCGGAAGGAACAUCUGUGGCGAAGGCGACUAUCUGGGCCAACACUGACACUGAGGCACGAAAGCGUGGGGAGCAAACAGGAUUAGAUACCCGCGUAGUCCCUGUCUCUUAUAC